rnacentral:rRNA from 1 species
GGCUCAGGACGAACGCUGGCGGUGCGCCUAACACAUGCAAGUCGAACGGUGAACGGGGCUUCGGCCCCGGGAUCAGUGGCGAACGGGUGCGUAACACGUGGGCAACCUGCCCCAGACUCUGGGAUAACUCCGGGAAACCGGGGCUAAUACCGGAUACUCCGACCGAUCCGCAUGGUUCGGUCGGGAAAGCUCCGACGGUCUGGGAUGGGCCCGCGGCCUAUCAGCUUGUUGGUGGGGUAACGGCCUACCAAGGCGACGACGGGUAGCUGGUCUGAGAGGACGACCAGCCACACUGGGACUGAGAUACGGCCCAGACUCCUACGGGAGGCAGCAGUGGGGAAUCUUGCGCAAUGGGCGAAAGCCUGACGCAGCGACACCGCGUGAGGGACGAAGGCCUUCGGGUUGUAAACCUCUUUCGGCAGGGACGAAGCGAUAGUGACGGUACCUGCAGAAGAAGCCUCGGCUAACUACGUGCCAGCAGCCGCGGUAAGACGUAGGAGGCGAGCGUUGUCCGGAUUCAUUGGGCGUAAAGAGCGCGCAGGCGGUUCGGAAAGUCGGAUGUGAAAACCCGGAGCUCAACUCCGGGCCGGCAUCCGAUACUCCCGGACUAGAGGUAGGUAGGGGAGAUCGGAAUUCCUGGUGUAGCGGUGAAAUGCGCAGAUAUCAGGAGGAACACCGGUGGCGAAGGCGGAUCUCUGGGCCUUACCUGACGCUCAGGCGCGAAAGCUAGGGGAGCGAACAGGAUUAGAUACCCUGGUAGUCCUAGCCGUAAACGUUGGGUGCUAGGUGUGGGCGGAUAUCGACCCCGUCCGUGCCGAAGCUAACGCAUUAAGCACCCCGCCUGGGGAGUACGGCCGCAAGGCUAAAACU